rnacentral:rRNA from 1 species
CCCAGACUCCUACGGGAGGCAGCAGUGGGGAAUAUUGCACAAUGGGGGAAACCCUGAUGCAGCAACGCCGCGUGAGUGAAGAAGUCAUUCGUGAUGUAAAGAUCUAUCAGCAGGGGAGAAAAUGACGGUACCUGAGUAAGAAGCCCCGGCUAACUACGUGCCAGCAGCCGCGGUAAUACGUAGGGGGCAAGCGUUAUCCGGAUUUACUGGGUGUAAAGGGAGCGUAGACGGCCAGACAAGUCUGAAGUGAAAAUCCAGCGCUUAACGUUGGAAGUGCUUUGGAAACUGCCGGGCUGGAGUGCAGGAGGGGCAGGCGGAAUUCCUGGUGUAGCGGUGAAAUGCGUAGAUAUUAGGAGGAACACCAGUGGCGAAGGCGGCCUGCUGGACGAUGACUGACGUUGAGGCUCGAAAGCGUGGGGAGCAAACAGGAUUAGAUACCCGCGUA